rfam:Triticum urartu cultivar G1812 contig396846, whole genome shotgun sequence.
UAGGUACUCCCUCCGUCCGGAAAUACUUGUCCUACAAAUGGAUAAAAUGGAUGUAUCUAUAACUAAAAUAAAUCUAGAUGCAGCCAUUUUGAGGACAAGUAUUUCCAGAAGGAGGGAGUAGAAA